GCCUUUUGGUUCGGAAUAACCCCGGGAAACUGGGGCUAAUACCGGAUGGUUCCUUCGGGAUAAAGAUUUAUCGCCAAAAGAUGAGUCCGCGUACGAUUAGCUAGUUGGUGAGGUAAUGGCUCACCAAGGCGACGAUCGUUAGCUGGUCUGAGAGGACGAUCAGCCACACUGGGACUGAGACACGGCCCAGACUCCUACGGGAGGCAGCAGUGGGGAAUAUUGGACAAUGGGGGCAACCCUGAUCCAGCCAUGCCGCGUGAGUGAUGAAGGCCUUCGGGUUGUAAAGCUCUUUUGGCGGGGACGAUGAUGACGGUACCCGCAGAAUAAGCCCCGGCUAACUUCGUGCCAGCAGCCGCGGUAAGACGAAGGGGGCUAGCGUUGUUCGGAAUUACUGGGCGUAAAGCGAGUGUAGGUGGUUAUCCAAGUUGGAUGUGAAAGCCUUGGGCUUAACCCAAGAAAUGCAUUCAGGA
rnacentral:rRNA from 1 species